GCUGGCGGCGUGCCUACACAUGCAAGUCGAGCGAAGCAUUUAGGUUAGCCUGCUAAUCUUUAUGACUGAGCGGCGAACGGGUGAGUAACACGUGGGUAAUCUACCUGAAAGUCUGGGAUAACAGUUCGAAAGGGCUACUAAUACCGGAUGACAUUGAUGAUGUAGAGUCAUCAAUCAAAGCGUUACGGAGCGCUUUCAGAUGAGCCCGCGUCCCAUUAGCUAGUUGGUGAGGUAACGGCUCACCAAGGCGACGAUGGGUAGCCGGCCUGAGAGGGUGUACGGCCACACUGGGACUGAGACACGGCCCAGACUCCUACGGGAGGCAGCAGUAGGGAAUAUUGCGCAAUGGGGGAAACCCUGACGCAGCGACGCCGCGUGAGUGAAGAAGGCCUUAGGGUUGUAAAGCUCUUUCAGUGGGGAAGAUAAUGACGGUACCCACAGAAGAAGCCCCGGCUAACUCCGUGCCAGCAGCCGCGGUAAUACGGAGGGGGCUAGCGUUGUUCGGAAUUACUGGGCGUGAAGCGCGCGUAGGCGGACUGGAAAGUUGGGGGUGAAAUCCCGGGGCUCAACCUCGGAACUGCCUUCAAAACUAUCAGUCUGGAGUUCGAGAGAGGUGAGUGGAAUUCCGAGUGUAGAGGUGAAAUUCGUAGAUAUUCGGAGGAACACCCAGUGGCGAAGGCGGCUCACUGGCUCGAUACUGGACGCUGAGGUGCGAAAGCGUGGGGAGCAAACAGGNAUUAGAUACCCUGGUAGUCCACGCCGUAAACGAUG
rnacentral:rRNA from 1 species